ACCCCCUGCUCUGCCCCCAGGCUCCGUCUGAGAAAACCCAGCAAAGACGAGACCAAGAAGCACGACUUCCUGGCAGCUGCCGUGCACAUGAGGGCCCUGCCCAAGGCCCAGAUCUUGUAGCAGGACCUGCAGACACCGCCGCUCGCCCGCCCCGCCGCAGCCUCCAGCCCAGGACUGCCCCCUGCCCCUGCCAGCGCUGCGCCCGGACCCCCGGACAGACACUCGCUGGCAUGGCGGGAGAUGGGCCCGGCGCUCGGAGGGCACUGCCGGCGCCCGGGAGCAGCAGGGGCAGACGACGGGGUCGGUGCCAUGGUCCGUCCCUGCGCCGUGGGUGCCAGCGUGUGGACCUGAGCCGGAUCCGCGCCCGGGGGGACCGGUCUGGGGGGCGAGGCGGGGGCGACGCCGAGGAUCCCGGGCUCAUGGAGAGGGGACAUGAGGACCCCAACCCAGCCCCCCUCUGCUGCUGGGGUCCUGGCGGAUCCGUGGACACUGGGAGCCCGGUUUGGGGUGCCGGUGGGCGUGUGAGGGUGACACUGACACCUCCCCAACCUGAACCCCCACCCUCCUGUGGCUGGGGGGACUCUCCCCUCACCCCCCGGGCUUGUCCGGCCCCUCGGGGCAGCGCGCCGGGAUCCCAAUAAAGGGGGUUGUGACAGCG